rnacentral:rRNA from 1 species
GACGAACGCUGGCGGCGUGCUUAACACAUGCAAGUCGAACGGAAAGGCCCCUUUGGGGGUACUCGAGUGGCGAACGGGUGCGUAACACGUGAGUAACCUGCCCUUGACUUCGGGAUAACUUCAGGAAACUGGGGCUAAUACCGGAUAGGAAUCCUUGCUGCAUGGUGGGGGUUGGAAAGCUUCGGCGGUUUUGGCUGGACUCGCGGCUUAUCAGCUUGUUGGUGGGGUAGUGGCUUACCAAGGCUUUGACGGGUAGCCGGCCUGAGAGGGCGACCGGCCACAUUGGGACUGAGAGACGGCCCAGACUCCUACGGGAGGCAGCAGUGGGGAAUAUUGCACAAUGGGCGGAAGCCUGAUGCAGCAACGCCGCGUGCGGGAUGACGGCCUUCGGGUUGUAAACCGCUUUCAGCAGGGGCGAAGCUUGUGGUGACGGUACCUGCAGAAGAAGCACCGGCUAACUACGUG